GGGCCCGCACAAGCGGUGGAGUAUGUGGUUUAAUUCGAUGCAACGCGAAGAACCUUACCAGGGUUUGACAUCCUGCGAAUCUCUUGGAAACGAGAGAGUGCCUUCGGGAGCGCAGUGACAGGUGGUGCAUGGCUGUCGUCAGCUCGUGUCGUGAGAUGUUGGGUUAAGUCCCGCAACGAGCGCAACCCACGUCUUUAGUUGCCAGCAUUCAGUUGGGCACUCUAGAGAGACCGCCGGUGAUAAGCGGGAGGAAGGUGUGGAUGACGUCAAGUCCUCAUGGCCCUUACGGGUUGGGCUACACACGUGCUACAAUGGCAGUGACAAUGGGUUAAUCCCAAAAAGCUGUCUCAGUUCGGAUUGGGGUCUGCAACUCGACCCCAUGAAGUCGGAAUCGCUAGUAAUCG
rnacentral:rRNA from 1 species